rnacentral:tRNA from 1 species
CUACCGCCUCGUGCGGACGCUCGAGGGUCAUGCCCUCGUAUCCCGCGACUCCGCGGGACGACUCGCGCUCGGCGCGCGGAUGGCGGCCC